UGGGGAAUCUUGCGCAAUGGACGAAAGUCUGACGCAGCGACGCCGCGUGGGUGAUGAAGGCCUUCGGGUUGUAAAGCCCUGUGGGGAGAGACGAAUAAGUCGUGGCUAAUAUCCACGAUGAUGACGGUAUCUCCUUAGCAAGCACCGGCUAACUCUGUGCCAGCAGCCGCGGUAAGACAGAGGGUGCAAACGUUGUUCGGAAUUACUGGGCGUAAAGCGCAUGUAGGCGGCCUGAUAGGUCGGAUGUGAAAUCCCUCGGCUCAACCAAGGAAGUGCAUUCGAAACCAUCAGGCUGGAGUCCCGGAGAGGAAGGUGGAAUUCUCGGUGUAGAGGUGAAAUUCGUAGAUAUCGAGAGGAACACCGGUGGCGAAAGCGGCCUUCUGGACGAGGACUGACGCUGAGAUGCGAAAGCGUGGGGAGCAAACAGG
rnacentral:rRNA from 1 species